rnacentral:rRNA from 1 species
CCUACGGGGGGCAGCAGUGGGGAAUAUUGGACAAUGGAGGGAACCCUGAUCCAGCCAUGCCGCGUGUGUGAAGAAGGCCCUCGGGUUGUAAAGCACUUUCAGUGAGGAAGAACGCCUGGUGGUUAAUACCCAUCAGGAAAGACAUCACUCACAGAAGAAGCACCGGCUAACUCCGUGCCAGCAGCCGCGGUAAUACGGAGGGUGCGAGCGUUAAUCGGAAUUACUGGGCGUAAAGCGCGCGUAGGUGGCUUGAUAAGCCGGUUGUGAAAGCCCCGGGCUCAACCUGGGAACGGCAUCCGGAACUGUCAAGCUAGAGUGCAGGAGAGGAAGGUAGAAUUCCCGGUGUAGCGGUGAAAUGCGUAGAGAUCGGGAGGAAUACCAGUGGCGAAGGCGGCCUUCUGGACUGACACUGACACUGAGGUGCGAAAGCGUGGGUAGCAAACAGGAUUAGAUACCCUUGUAGUC